AGUGAUCUGACCGCCUUGGCCUCUCAAAGUGCUGGGAUUACAGGCGUGACCCACUGCACCCGGCCGAUAGUAAGUUUAACAGCUGGAAUUCCAACUUUGUGAAGCACUGAUAAGAACUGGAAAAAAAAAUUCAGAUGAGUAACUUAAACACAUAUAAUAUUCAAAUCCCCAUUGAAGUGUAUUAACUAGACAUUAAUAAAUUUCAUUAAAUAAAUUCCAGUAGAUCUAAACAUAUUGCAAUUACAUGCACUGAUAUAUUUUUGGAAACUGAACAUUUUAAUAGCCUUGUUGAAAUAUAAUUAAUAAACUGUACAUGCCAGUCAGUAUAGUCUCAGUGCUGUGCAACGACAACCAUAAGGUAAAUUUUAGAACAUUUUUACUCUGAAAGGAACCCCACACCCGUCAGCAGCCACUCUAUUGCCCACCAUCUCCCUCCACCAGUUCCUGGCCACCACCAAUCUACUUGAUGUCCCCAUGGGUUUGCCUGUUCUAAAACUUUCGUAUAAAUAGAAUUACAGAACAUGUGGUCUUUUAAAAAUUCCCUCAAACUCUGUAUUUUCCCCAAAGCAUGUAUUUAACCGAAUUUAUGAAAUUUUUGCAAUAAUUUUAAAGGAAAGUUUUGAGUUACUUAUUUUCAGAAAUGGUAAUAUAUAGUAUUUUUUAAAAAAUUCUACACAGAGACAAACUCUUUGAAAAGCUCAGCUGUUGGAAGUGAAGAUGCUUUGUCUAAAUGGAGAAAUAAAAUUAGGAUGGAGAGACGCUAAUUUAACUAGAUUUUUGAGACGCUAAAUUUUGUGAUGGGAAAAAUGCAAGACAUUUAUUAGAGAAUCCAUUCCUGAUCCUGCAUAAAAGGGCACACACUUUGGCCACAGAGUAUUUUGAAGGGGGAUACAUGAUAAUAUUAAGUAUAUAUAUGGGGCCAGAAUUGUAUUUUUAAUAGACAAGUUAAAAUACCCAAAUCCACACAAGGCCUAAGAAUGACAGCUUUGUGAAGAGCAAGCAAGGCCUCCAGGAAAAGGACAGGGAGGGAAAAUGGGAAGCGGAUGGAGGCUGGGCUGAGGCCCUGGUCUCCGCUCUUCCCUCCUCCCCACCAGCCCGUUUCUCUUUUCCAUCUUUUUCUACCCUCUAUGACAAAUGAGAGUGUAUCAAAUUCACCUCCAAAUGGGCUAAUGUACUUUCCAGGUCUCCUUUCACUUGGUUUAAAUAUAGGAACAGAGGAGUGUGGAAAGGCACUGGCCCCAGCAAAGCGGGUUGGCUUUGUCCCUGGGUUCACUCUUGCAUACUGGACAGGUCGCUUCAGGCCUCGGAUUCCUCAUUUGUGAAGCACAGCCAAAAACUCAAGGCUCCCCACCUUGCUGUGGUGGUGAAUCAGCGGGGUAAAUGCUUAGCCGGGGACUGGCUUGCUGUACCCUCCACAAUGACCACUUGAAGUGGAUCCCAGAGGCUCUUUACUUUGCCAUAAAGACAGUUUAAGGAAAUGAGACUUUUAAAUAACUUGUCUGCAACUUCUACAAGAGAUGGUAAGUGCAUAUGGUGUCUUUCUAAGCUACUUUCAGAUGAACCAUAAAUCUCAGUGCAUUCUCCUGCAUUGGAGGGAGAGGCUGCUAAUGCAAGCUCAGCCCUCCUGUGCAGCUCGUAAUGAGGCAGGCCCCUUAGUCUCCUCUGCUCCCCAAGACCAACCCCAUAGCUGGGCAGUUGUUGCAAUGUGACACACUUGGGCACGUAUCUGAGACGUCAUUUUGAAAAUGAAGAACCGAUAUUUUUCUUACUUAUAAAAGCAGUCCUACUUCUCAAAGGAGACGCCUGUCCUGGAGGACCUGCGACAAGGUAGAGAAGAGGUUUUCUCCCUUCAUGCCUUCACGGAGAGGCUCAUGUUGCUAGACAUGGCGACGUCUGUCAGGAAAUGUCGUGUCCUCAGCCCUUCACGUAGGCAGGUUUGAUUCAGCAUCCUCGGGGCACUUCCUGUUCCCGCCCACAUGUGCUCGCGCAUGCGUGGUGGAGCUGGCCUUUUCAACAUCCGCCAUCUAACCGGUAGGUAGCAGGGUUAUUGAUAUCGCAUGUAUUUAAUGUGUUUAAUUUUCAUCCAUAUAUCUUCUUGGCUGAUCUGUCUUUUCAACUAUUUUGCCCAUUUUAAAUUGUUUUUUCCUGUUAUUGACUUUUAAGUCCUUUUAGAUGUGAAGUACAAGCCAUUUUUUCAGAUAUAUGGUUUGCAAAUGUUUUCUCCAGAUCUUAUAUUUUUUAUUCUCUUAACAGUUAGUGUCUUCUGACUGGUAUAUGUGCUUCAUUUUGAAUAUGUCCAAUUUAUCAGUUUCUUUUCUUUUAUGGAUUGUACUUUUGCUGUCAAAUUUAAAAUAUCUUUGCCUAACUCAAGGUAGCACAGAUUUUUUUCCUAUGAUUUCUACCAUAAUUUCUACUUUUGUAUUCUACGUUAUGUUUAUAAUCUAUUUUGGUUCCAUUUUUACGUAAUAUGAGAUGUAGAUAAAAGUUAAUUUUUUUGCGUAAGAUACUCAAUUGUUCUAGCACCAUUUGUUGAAAGGCUAUUGUUUUUCCUCCAUGGAAUUAUCUCUGCAUCUUUGUUGAAACGAACACACCACAGAUGUGUCGGCCUAUCUCUGGGUGUGGAUGCAGCUCAGGUGAUCUAUUUCUACGUCCUUAUGGUAACUCCUUACUCUCAGGUCACCACAGCUGCUGCUGUGCAGAAGAGAUAAGCUGAGGACCAACCCCAACACCGGAUGGCUGGUGGCCACAGAGAUGGACUCAGCACAAAACUGCUUAGCCCUGUGCUGGGUGGAAGCCAACACCUGCAGCUGGAGGCUGGGUUCACUGUGGACUGAGUGAGAGGUGAAGCUGCCUGGGCUUCUGGGUUGGGUGGGGACUUGGAAAACUUUUCUGUCUAGCUAAAGGAUUGUAAAUGCACCAACCAGUGCUCUGUGUCUAGCUAAAGGUUUGUAAAUGUACCAAUCAGUGCUCUGUAAAAUGGACCAAUCAGCUCUCUGUAAAAUGAACCAAUCAGCUCUCUGUAAAAUGGACCAAUCAGCAGGAUGUGGGUGGGGCCAAAUAAGGGAAUAAAAGCAGGCCACGCAAGACAGUGUUGGCGUCCCGCUCAGGUUCUCUUUCUCAGUGUGGGAGCUUUGUUCUUUUGCUCUUUGUAAUAAAUCUUAUUGCUGCUCA